UACAGAGGAGCCAAGCGUUGUCCGGAUUGACUGGGCGUAAAGCGCACGCAGGCGGCGGCGCGCGUGGGGUGUGAAAUCUGGCCGCUUAACGGCCAGGCGCCAUCCCAUACGGCGCGGCUGGAGGGAUGCAGAGGUCGAUGGAAUUGCCGGUGUAGUGGUGAAAUGCGUAGAUAUCGAGAGGAACACCUGCGGCGAAGGCGGGUUGCUGGGCCGACACUGACGCUGAGGCGCGAAAGCUAGGGGAGCGAACGGG
rnacentral:rRNA from 1 species